UAACAAGGAUUCCCCUAGUAACUGCGAGUGAAGCGGGAAAAGCUCAAAUUUAAAAUCUGGUGGUCUUUGGCCAUCCGAGUUGUAGUCUGGAGAAGUGUUUUCCGCGCUGGACCGUGUACAAGUCUCUUGGAAUAGAGCGUCAUAGAGGGUGAGAAUCCCGUCUUUGACACGGACUACCAGUGCUUUGUGAUGCGCUCUCAAAGAGUCGAGUUGUUUGGGAAUGCAGCUCAAAAUGGGAGGUAAAUUCCUUCUAAAGCUAAAUAUUGGCGAGAGACCGAUAGCGAACAAGUACCGUGAGGGAAAGAUGAAAAGCACUUUGGAAAGAGAGUUAAACAGUACGUGAAAUUGCUAAAAGGGAAACGAUUGAAGUCAGUCGCGUCAUUCAGAACUCAGCCUGGCUUUUGCUUGGUGCAUUUUCUGUUUGACGGGCCAGCAUCAAUUUUGACCGUUGGAUAAAGGCUUUGGGAAUGUGGCAUCUUCGGAUGUGUUAUAGCCCAUUGUUGCAUACACCGGUUGGGAUUGAGGAUCACAGCAUGCCUUUAUGGUCGGGGUUCGCCCACGUUCAUGCUUAGGAUGCUGGCGUAAUGGCUUUAAACGAC
rnacentral:rRNA from 1 species